GUCUUUUUUUUUGUUGUUGUUGUUGUUGUUGUUGCUAUUUGUUGGGCCGCUCCCGCGGCAUAUGGAGGUUCCCAAGCUAGGGGAUGAAUCGGAGCUGUAGCCACCGGCCUACACCAGAGCCACAGCAACUUGGGAUCCGAGCCGUGUCUGCAACCUACACCACAGCUCACGGCAACACCGGAUCGUUAACCCACUGAGCAAGGGCAGGGACCGAACCCGCAACCUCAUGGUUCCUAGUCGGAUUCGUUAACCACUGCGCCACGACGGGAACUCCAGCUUUGACAUUUCUGACACAAGUAAUACUAUCCUGGAGGCAUAUUGGGUGCUUACAUUAAUUAUGUAAUAACAUUUUUAUUCUUGUUAGGGAAAUCCAGUAACAGAAAUAUUAUUCUGUUUAUUCUCACAAUUUCUUUGGCAGUGAAAAAAAAAUCAAGAAAAGAAACGUUUCUUGUUUGAUCUCCCCAGAUAGGUCUGUGAAAAUCCCAGUAGGAAUGUAAGCCGAGCAAUUGCUUCCCAGAUUGGCUCCAGAAUCAAGACCUGGUUGGGUGGGCUUGUUAUUAGAGUAACCAGAAACAGAAACCACAAAGCACCACAAUCACAGCCAGAGUUUAUGAAGCAUCUAAUAGCAUUCGAUAUUUUAUUAAACAGUCUGCUAAAUACUUUGUGAUUAUUAUUUCAUGCAGUUCCCCCAAACCUAUGAGUUAGGUAUUCUAUUCCCAUUUUACUGAUGAGGAAAUAGAGGCUCAGAAGCUGUAUACGACUUGUGCAAGAGAAUAGCAAGUAGCAGAGUUGGGAUUUGAACUUGCAUCUGUCUGACUCCAAAUCCCAUGACUUACCCUUCAAACUCAGUGAAAAUAGACUUGUUUUGUGAAUAUUAACUGGUUUGGGGGGUCUCAUGUUCAUUUCUUCUGGCAAUACCACUCCCUUCUUUGGGGAGAAAUUCCCUUCUUCUCCCCACUGUGCUCUAUCAUGAAGAAGAAAUGGUUGCUGUCAUCUCUCAACAUGACAAUACCUCCUUACCCAUAAUGUUGGGGCAAGGGAAAGAUAUCUGCCCAAGCUGAGCCAACAAUACUUGAUUUCUCAGGUCUUAACCCGAGUUGGUCCAAAUAGAAUUCUCCCCCAAGAGUCAAGAAAUUAAACCUAUGAGGGAGGAGGCUUUCCCUGUUUCCUGUUAGGUACUGUAAGAAUGUAAGCCUGAAGCCAUGUAUGUCCUUCACCUCCUGGAAGAAGCCUGUGUGCAUGAGAGAAAGAGACUGACAUGGAGAGACAGGGAGGAGGAGCCAGCCCCAUUGCUUAUAAACCCUACUCCAUUUCUCCCUUGCUCCUUCUGACCUUCCCAUGGUUAGAGGAACCAACACCUUCCCCAUUUUGCCUAGGCAAGUUCGGGUUGGCUCUCUGUCACUUGUAGAGGAGCCAUAAGUGAUUCAGCCCACCCCAGGAAGGGCUGAAGCUCAAAAAUCAAUAAAAUUAAGGCCUGUUAGCAUAAUGAAGAAGCAAAUGAAGUGCUGGAAGCAAGAGACAAAGCCAAGAGGUGGCAAGUCAGACAGUACCAAGAAUGGAUUGGGGGUAAGAGACAAUGGAAUUAAAGACCAUUUAUCCAGGAUGGGCUCUGUGAGACUCCAAACUUUUCUUUUUAAAGAUCAUUAGCAAAAAAUGAGGGUCAGUAGUUCAGCCUAGUUAAAAGACAUCAAUGGAGUAAGAGCAAUAAUCAGAAUCUCGUAAGAUAAAAUUAUUCCUUUUAAGAAUUAAAAACAAAUAAAGCCAUCCCCAUUGUAAAAGAAUGUAUGUUCAAUUUAAUAAUCAUUACAAGGAGUUCCCAUCAUGGCACAGUGGUUAACGAAUCCGACUAGGAACCAUGAGGUUGCGGGUUUGAUCGCUGCUCAGUGGGUUAACGAUCCGGCGUUGCCGUGAGCUGUGGUGUAGGUCGCAGACGCGGCUCGGAUUCUGCGUUGCUGUGGCUCUGGCAUAGGCUGGCAGCUACAGCUCCGAUUAGACCCCUAGCCUGGGAAACUCCAUAUGCCACGGGAGCGGCCCAAGAAAUGGCAAAAAGACAAAAAAAAAAAAAAAAAAAAAAAAUUACAAACUAAAUAAAUCACAUGCUAGACCCAACGAAGGAAUCAAAAGGAAAUCAAAGACAUAUGUAAUAUAUCAUAUUGGCCAAGAAACUAGAGCUAUAUAGAAUUUACUCAUGGAAGAAAAGGAACCUUGUCUCUUGGUAGACUUAAUUUUACCAGGAUGAUGUGUUGAGGUUUAGAUUAGGUAAGAAUCAGUCAUUGACAAUGGAUCAGAGAGGAAUAUCCACCACUAAUAAGGUGGGUGCAAAAAAACAAGCUUUUUCAUUUCAAAAAUAUAAUCAUGUGAGCUUAGUUUCCUAACUGGGUUUACCUAGGGAUCAGUGUCACGGAGCAAGCUCUAAAAUGUAAGUAAUUCAUUGGUUCCCCUAGUGAUUUUCAAAGCUACCAAGGACUUUAGUGGCCUGACCUCUGGGGAAAAAGGGGUGAAGGCUUGGAUUGAAGCUUUAUUUAGCAAAUCCUUUCCAUUCAAAACCCAUAAGCUUCUUGUCCCUGUCAGCAAGUGUCCAGAAGAUGCCUUGUCAACAGAUUCCCUUCAAGGGGAGCAUUGCUGGGGCUGUCAGAAGUGGAGGGAGACUUGGGAGCUUCAGCUACAGUCUGGACUGUCACGUCAAUUGAAAACUGCUUUGAUUUUCCUGCUGGAAGUAAAUCACAUGCCUCUGACUUACUCUCUGUUUUGUGAUGUGCCUGUAUCUGUAUGUGGUGUAUGGGCUUUGUACAUGGGCGUGAACAUAUAUAAGUGUGUUUAUCAAUUGAAACUGGGCAGUGUUUUCACAGAGCGCAAAGUUCAGUAACAAUUGUCGGGUCUCCGAUUGCUUCUUGUGGGUAUCGUGAUGAUUUGUACACAAGAAGAGCAGGAUCCAGUUCAGCUCAUUGCAGAAUCUGCCACCAGUACAGCAUCAAGCAGUAUGAACAAAACUUUGAGGGCUGCUAAUUUAAGUCGAUCACUGUGUGCCCAAAGUAGAAUGUUAGUCAGUCAAUGUUUUUUGUGGAAGGCUUUAAAAUUAGGACAUGAUUUAGGAUUUACACACGCAAAAGAGAUGCUUACUUCAACUGCUCUUUAAUGUCUCUUUAAGAAAAUUAUUGUUUCUUCAUUUAGUCACUUCAUUGGAAAUAGGCCACGGUGAAAUGUUUCUACCAUAAAAAGGACAAAUUACUGUAAGUUCUCUAAGUCUUAUCACUUAUACAAUUGACAAUUAAGCCAAAUUAUUACACCCAUAAAAUAGAAUAAGAGAAUGUUCUUGCUGACUAAAUCAUUUCAGUUUCAGGGUUGCUUGGUAAAUAGUGAUAGGAAUAUAAAUUCUAUGAAGUGAGAAACUUUACACUCCUAAUUUGGAUUUGAGAUGAGAAGCAUAUUUGCUUUGUGAUCCAAAGUAAUACACUGGUUGUUAAUUUCAAUACGGAAUUAGGGGGUUAUAAUUUGGUGUGUUAAUAUCAUGGGUGGUAAACUUUGCCCUAGCUCUAGCUCUGAUCCCUAAAAACCCUGGGUUUAUUUGCGUUCCCAUUUUCAGACCAUGCCUUUUCCCGUCCCUUUGAAGCAGCAUUGUUGAUACAUUCUAUCAGUAGCUUCAACUGUACCUCUUAGGAAUAUCCUCUGACCAAAGCUGGAAAGAAUGUUAGUAAUUGCAUUUAUUCCUCCCAGCAAGGUGAAGUCUAGAAUCAUUUGUGUUUGCAGCGUGGUGCCAGGGUGCUGAGGGUGAGUUCUGGAUGCCUGAGUGCCUGCCACCAGUUAAUUCCCAUCCACAUUCCUGAUCUCCCCUUAGUUCUCCUCCAUGCUUCUUCACAGGACCUGCUAAUCGGGUGCUCUGGCACCAUUUCUGGUUUUGCCAAGCAGUCUCUCUGGUAUCCAUCUUCAACAAGCAAUCUUACUUCACUGGACGUACUGCCACAGAGGCCAGGAGUACCAAUGUAAAACAGGAAUGGAGGAUUCCUCAUUGUAUCCUGUCUGAGUUUGUUCAAGAGAAUUGAGACCUUGCAAGUGUGGAUAGUAUAAUCGAUCUUUAAUAAUGAGAAAAAGCCUUUCACAAAAAUGGUAAGAGAUAUAGGAGUAUCAAUCUGGAUGGCUGAAGCUAGAGAAUCAAGAAACAUUCACAAUUUCAGACCGAAAAGGAAUAAUGAAAGGAGCAUACCAUUUUUGGGGGUUAUUUUCAAACCGCUGUGACUGAUAGGUGAGAGCUUGUAAAAAGUCUGGAAAUCUACCACAAGGAAUUAUAAUGACUUUCCAAAAAUUCAUUUGCUGCACUUUACCUUCCAACUCUCAAGGAAGUUGUUCUCGUUGGAAAACUCUAAUCCAGAACCAUGUAGGGAAAGGAAUUUUAGGAAGCACACUUUCCAGGCACAAAAGGGGAUUUUGAAGGUACUACAAAAUUUGUAACUAAGUUACACUCGCCCCUUUCAAAUCCUGUAGUGUAAAUGCUGAAGUAGACAGGUAAUCAUUGUUAAAAUAUCUAAUGUUAGAUAAUUCAACAAAGAGGAGAAAAGAAUAACUCAUUCGUAUAUGUAAAUAUAAACCAAUCAAAGCAGUAAGGAAAAUGAGUAUAAUCACUACAGAUACUGUUUUUCUACAAGUGAUGAUUUGGCCAUGAUUGGUAUUUAUAUUUUUCUUAUUCCACUAAAAUUUCCUCAAGUCUCUUUGUCUUCAGUAAGUGGUCCAGUUGGUUGUGGUUCUUUGUCUAGUGGGGAUACUCCAAUCCUCUUGAAGGAACUCUGUCAUUAGCAGUCUUGUCUGUAUUGUGUUUCCAUAGUUUCCCAUUAUCUUUAGCCAGAGGACCUAAGAGUAUUAAGACCCACCCUGUAGAAUAUUCUGGAUUAUAGUCAUGUCCUCUUUACUUCCUUUUUUUGUCUUUUUCUGCCAUUUCUUGGGCCGCUCCCACGGCAUAUGGAGUUUCCCAGGCUAGGGGUCGAAUUGGAGCUGUAGCCACCAGCCUACGCUAGAGCCACAGCAACGAUGGAUCCAAGCUGUGUCUGCAACCUAUACCACAGCUCACAGCAACGCUGGAUCCUUAACCCACUGAGCCAUGCCAGGGACCGAACCCUCAACCUCAUGGUUCGUAGUUGGAUUUGUUAACCACUGAGCCAUGACGAGCCCAUUUUUUCAUCAGAACUAUUGUGUGUGCCCUGAUUCUAGGAAUUGAGAUCUUAAAGCAGCAGGCCCAAGCUGUCAUAAUGGGAAUAGAAAAUUUUGCUAGUGGAUUGUUAGGGGUAAUAAUGAGAGAAUCCAGUUCCAUUUCCACCAUGUAUAUCCUAAAUCCAUACAUCCUGGCUAUGGGUGAAUCAGCAUAUUCUGAUCGCUGAUUCAAAGCCUAUACAGUAUCCUGAGGACAUUUCCCCAGCCUGGCAGUUUGCCAAGCCCCUAAAGCCCUCCAUCUAUGACCUACAGAGGGUUAUAUUGUGUCUCUGAUCAUUAAAAGUCUCCUCUGUUGUGGUAGCCUUUUCAGGAACACUUACACAGGACACAAAAAUCCUCAUGUUUUGUGCCAAUUUGGAGAAUUACAUCACUAAUUUUAUCUCUUCUCCAGAUUUCCUUGUCCACCAUUUCCCAAUUUUGUGUCUUCUACCUCCAUGAGCAUAUAGCUAAACUGUCCGUCACUGUGCACGAAACAGUAUAGAUCCAUAUUUCUGCCUACAUUUCCUUCCAAGAAAAAUGAACAAAAAAAAUGAGCAAAAAAUGAACAGGGUGCAUUGCUCAAAGUUCUUUGUGCUGGGGAGGAUUUCUCUUCUUUUCCAUUUUCUUAGGAUCACAUUGAGUGGUGCCACGGUGUUGUAGCUGCCCACUUUCAUUUGUUACUGGGGUAUGAUGCAGAGUCCUUUGUAACCAAGCUUUGUUUUGGACAAUGAGUUAAUCGUAGGGGACUCAUCAUGAAGCUAGAGGUGCUGACUGAGGAAAAGAAUCUGGCAACAUGAAUAGGAAUGACAGGAAUAUGAGUAAUUUGUCUGGGCAAAUUGUCUGUGCCUCUGAGAGCUGCUUGGGCCCUAUUUUGUACAUGUCACUUCUAUUUGAUGAUGAAGUACUGUUGUGCACAUACAAAUUUAUAACCUGGUGAGCCAGACAGCACACAUGCCAAGCAAAAAGCUUGACAUUUUGGCAUUCCCGAAGUGGCAAAGCAGAAAUGAAUCCCACUAGGAACCAUGAGGUUGCAGGAUCAAUCCCUGGCCUUGCUCAGUGGUUUAAGGACCCAGCAUUGCCAUGAGCUGUGGUAUAGGUCACAGAUACGGCUCAGAUCCAUCGUUGCUGUGGCUGUGGUGUAGGCUGACGGCUACAGCUCCAAUUCGACCCCUAGCCUGGGAACCUCCAUAUGCCACAGCUGCCGUCCCAAGAAGCAAAAAAAAAAAAAAAAAAAAAAAAA
rnacentral:lncRNA from 1 species